UACGGGGGGAGCAAGCGUUGUUCGGAUUUACUGGGCGUAAAGGGCGCGUAGGCGGUCAGCACAAGUCAGUUGUGAAAUCUCCGGGCUCAACUCGGAAAGGUCAACUGAUACUGUGCGACUAGAGUGCGGAAGGGGCAACUGGAAUUCUCGGUGUAGCGGUGAAAUGCGUAGAUAUCGAGAGGAACACCUGCGGCGAAGGCGGGUUGCUGGGCCGACACUGACGCUGAUGCGCGAAAGCCAGGGGAGCGAACAGG
rnacentral:rRNA from 1 species